UACGUAGGGCGCAAGCGUUGUCCGGAUUUACUGGGCGUAAAGAGCGUGUAGGCGGCCAGGCAGGUCUGUUGUGAAAACUGGAGGCUCAACUUCCAGACGUCGACAGAAACCGCUUGGCUAGAGUCCGGAAGAGGAGAGUGGAAUUCCUGGUGUAGCGGUGAAAUGCGCAGAUAUCAGGAAGAACACCGAUGGCGAAGGCAGCUCUCUGGGACGGUACUGACGCUGAGACGCGAAAGCGUGGGGAGCGAACAGG
rnacentral:rRNA from 1 species